rnacentral:rRNA from 1 species
UGUGUAGGCGGUCUUCUAAGUUUGGUGUGAAAUCUCCCGGCUUAACUGGGAGGGUGCGCCGAAUACUGAAAGACUAGAGUGCGGGAGAGGAGAGUGGAAUUCCUGGUGUAGCGGUGAAAUGCGUAGAUAUCAGGAGGAACACCGGUGGUGUAGACGGCUCUCUGGACCGUAACUGACGCUGAAACACGAAAGCGUGGGUAGCAAACAGGAUUAGAUACCCUGGUAGUCCACGCCCUAAACGAUGCAUAUUUGGUGUGGGCAGUUCAGUCUGUCCGUGCCGGAGCUAACGCGUUAAAUAUGCCGCCUGGGGAGUACAGUCGCAAGGCUGAA